rfam:Amycolatopsis australiensis strain DSM 44671 genome assembly, contig: Ga0074771_106
CUUCAGCGAGCCCAGCCACAGCGGCUCUUCGCGGUCCUGCCCGUAGGUCGCCAGCAGGGCCUGCGCCUC